CCCAUGAAGUCGGAAUCGCUAGUAAUCGUAGAUCAGAAUGCUACGGUGAAUACGUUCCCGGGCCUUGUACACACCGCCCGUCACACCAUGGGAGUGGGUUGCAAAAGAAGUAGGUAGCUUAACCUUCGGGAGGGCGCUUACCACUUUGUGAUUCAUGACUGGGGUGAAGUCGUAACAAGGUAACCGUAGGGGAACCUGCGGUUGGAUCACCUCCUUA
rnacentral:rRNA from 1 species